UACAGAGGUGGCAAGCGUUGUUCGGAAUUACUGGGCGUAAAGGGCGCGUAGGUGGCCUUCUUAGUCAGACGUGAAAUCCCCAGGCUUAACCUGGGAACUGCGUCUGAUACUGGAAGGCUUGAGUUCGGGAGAGGAAUGUGGAAUUCCAGGUGUAGCGGUGAAAUGCGUAGAUAUCUGGAGGAACACCGGUGGCGAAGGCGGCAUUCUGGACCGAAACUGACGCUGAGGCGCGAAAGCGUGGGGAGCGAACAGG
rnacentral:rRNA from 1 species